AUUGAACGCUGGCGGCAGGCUUAACACAUGCAAGUCGAGCGGAGAUGAGGUGCUUGCACCUUAUCUUAGCGGCGGACGGGUGAGUAAUGCUUAGGAAUCUGCCUAUUAGUGGGGGACAACAUUCCGAAAGGAAUGCUAAUACCGCAUACGUCCUACGGGAGAAAGCAGGGGAUCUUCGGACCUUGCGCUAAUAGAUGAGCCUAAGUCGGAUUAGCUAGUUGGUGGGGUAAAGGCCUACCAAGGCGGCGAUGUGUAGCGGGUCUGAGAGGAUGAUCCGGCACACUGGGACUGGGACACGGCCCAGACUCCUACGGGAGGCAGCAAUGGGGAAUAUUGGACAAUGGGGGAAACCCUGAUCCAGCCAUGCCGCGUGUGUGAAGAAGGCCUUAUGGUUGUAAAGCACUUUAAGCGAGGAGGAGGCUACUGAGACUAAUACUCUUGGAUAGUGGACGUUACUCGCAGAAUAAGCACCGGCUAACUCUGUGCCAGCCGCCGCCGUAAAAC
rnacentral:rRNA from 1 species